rnacentral:rRNA from 1 species
UACGUAGGGGGCAAGCGUUGUCCGGAAUCAUUGGGCGUAAAGAGCGUGUAGGCGGUCCGGUCAGUCGGUUGUGAAAGUCAAGGGCUCAACCCUUGAAUGCCGGCCGAUACUGCCGGGCUAGAGUCCGGAAGAGGUGAGUGGAAUUCCUGGUGUAGCGGUGAAAUGCGCAGAUAUCAGGAGGAACACCGGUGGCGAAGGCGGGUCUCUGGGCCGAUAUUGACGCUGAGGAGCGAAAGCGUGGGGAGCAAACAGG